rnacentral:rRNA from 1 species
GUCUACGGCCAUGCUACCCUGAAUAAGCCUGAUCCCGUCUGAUCUCAGAAGCUGAGCAGGGUUGGACCUGGUUAGUACUUGGAUGGGAGACUACCAUGAAGACCAGGUGCUGUAGGUG